UACGGAGGAUCCAAGCGUUAUCCGGAUUUAUUGGGUUUAAAGGGUGCGUAGGUGGCUUUUUAAGUCAGGGGUGAAAGACGGUAGCUUAACUAUCGCAGUGCCUUUGAUACUGAAGAGCUUGAAUGAACUAGAGGAGGCGGAAUGUGACAAGUAGCGGUGAAAUGCAUAGAUAUGUCACAGAACACCGAUUGCGAAGGCAGCUUACUAUGGUUUUUAUUGACACUGAGGCACGAAAGCGUGGGGGAUCAAACAGGA
rnacentral:rRNA from 1 species